GAACUCAAGUGAUCCACCUGCCCUGGCCUCCCAAAGUUCUGGGAUUACGGGCAUGAGUCACCGUGCCUGGCCCUAAAUGUCAAUUUUUGAUUGUUUGGUGCUCCUAUAUGGAAAUACUAUUGACUUUUGUAUAUAGAUCUUGUAUCCUAAUACCUUUCUGUGGGAAUCUAGGUAAUGGUUUUUCCUACUUUCUACUCUCUACUCUCACACAGUCACUCAACACUCCAUGACCAGAUGAGUAGGGUAUUCCCCACACACCGAGUCAUUCCCCAGCAGGUUCUGCAGGGGACAGCAGUGGGGGUCCUCUAUUCAACCUCAUCUUGACACUGUCCACCCGGAGUGACCUCAGAACCCACAGGGUGAGGGCUCAGUCCCACAAGACGGCCCCCCAUUCAGAUGCCAAUCCCAAGUCCAGGUGUGGUCUGUGCUUCUGUCCAGCUGGCUAUAAAUCGGGGCUCCCAUGACCCCCUUCUGGGUUGGAUAAAUUUGUAGAGUGGCUCACAGAACUCAGGGAAACACUUCGUUUAUGGUUCUGGCUUAUGAAUAAAGAAUGUAGUAACAGGUACAGAUGAACAGCCUGAUGAAGAGGUGCACAGGCUAAGGUCGGGAAGGGUCCCAAGGGCAGGAGCUUCUGUCCCGUGGAGUUGGGGUGUGCCCUUCUCCUGGCAGGCGGAUGUGUUCGCCAGCCCAAAGGAAGCUUUCUGAACCAGUCCUUUUGGGUGUUUUUGGAAGCUUCAUUAUAGAGCCAUGAUUGAUUAUAUAUCAUUGGCUGUUGGUGAGAACACUUCCCAAUUCUUCAGUGCCUCUCCCCUCCCCGGAGGUUGGGGGUGGGGGCUGAAAGUCCCAACCCUCUAACAUGCGUUGAUCUUCCCAGGGACCAGCCCCCCAUCCUGAAGCUGUCUAGGGCCCCCCAGCCACCAGUGAACUCCUAUCACUCUGGAGAGUCCAAGGCUUUUUAGGAGCUGUAUGUCAGGAAAUGGGAAGAUGACCAAACGUAUAUUUUACAAUAUCAUACUUUCUUUCUUUCUUUUUUUUUUUUUGAGACGGAGUCUCGCUCUGUCGCCCAGGCUGGAGUGCAGUGGCGCGAUCUCGGCUCAGUCCAAGUUCCGCCUCCCAGGUUCACACCAUUCUCCUGCCUCAGCCUCCCGAGUAGCUGGGACUACAGGCGCCCGCCACCUCGCCCGGCUAAUUUUUUGUAUUUUUAGUAGAGAUGGGGUUUCACCAUGUUAGCCAGGAUGGUCUCGAUCUCCUGACCUCGUGAUCCACCUGCCUCGGCCUCCCAAAGUGCUGGGAUUACAGGCGUGAGCCACUGCGCCCGGCCUACAAUAUCAUACUUUCUAAAUACACUUAUUAUUUCUGGCAGCUUUUUGUAGAUUCUGUUAAAUUUUUUGCCAAUAAAGAUAAUCUUCACUUCUUCCUUUUCUCUCUGGAUGCCGAGUGUGUGUGUGUGUGUGUGUGUGUGUGUGUGUCUGUGUGUCACCCUAUUGAACUAGCUAGAAUUCCAGUACAAAGUUGAAUAGAAGUGGUGAGAGCAGACAUCUUUUGUUAAUGAUGGAACUCUGAAUGCUUUCUCCCCAAAGAUAAGCGUGAUGUUAGCUGUAGGAUUUUCGUAGCUACCCUUUGUCAGGCCAAGGCAGUUGCCACCUACUCAUAGCUUGCUGAGAGUUCUUAUUAGGAAUAGAUGUUAGAUUUUUUUUUUCAGAUGCUUUUUUUGUGUGUCAACGGAGAUUAUCAUGUUAUUUUUAUUAUGGUAAAUUACAUUGAUGGUUUUUUUUACUCGAUAAAUACUGACUUUUUAUUAGUAUCCACUCCAUCACUCAACAGCAAUAGCAGCAUGCAGAUGCCAUGAGGGCAGGGCUGUGUGUACACACAACACUCACCAGUACAUCCCAGUGCCUAGUACACAGUAGGCACUCAGUUAUAUCAUUGAAACAGGGAACGCUUGGCUGAUUCAUUUACAUUUUAAUUUAUUUUAUUUUUUUUAUUAUUAUACUUUAAGUUUUAGGGUACAUGUGCACAAUGUGCAGGUUAGUUACAUAUGUAUACAUGUCCCAUGCUGGUGCGCUGCACCCACUAACUCAUCAUCUAGCAUUAGGUAUAUCUCCCAAUUCUAUCCCUCCCCCCUCCCCCCACCCCACAACAGUCCCCAGAGUGUGAUGUUCCCCUUCCUGUGUCCAUAUGUUCUCAUUGUUCAAUUCCCACCUAUGAGUGAGAAUAUGCGGUGUUUGCAUAUUUUCUUUUUGAAUAGUGUGACUUACUCUUUUUGGCAUAUGAUAGCUAUGGUAUCACAUAAACAAUUGUAAACUGUGUCGAGCUGCCAAAAGUUUGAAUCUCAUGCCAGUAUAUACAUUCAGCCUUCUCACCAUAGCUAUUUGAGAGUUAUAAUUAUCUAUAGCACUGAAAGAGACUUUGGGCUCAUCUGGUCCGAUUCUCUUAUUUCAUGAAUUAGAACACUAAAUCCACUCAGACUGGGUGACUCGUCUGUCAGAACAUGCAAUAAACAGAAAACAAGGGGUUGUUUGCCUGAUGCCAUAGCAUCCAAAGGUCAGGGUAGCUGGAACUCUUGGUGUCUUCUUGUCUUACAAAAUGAUGGAAGACGCAUCAUUUUAGUUCUCUGGUAGAAAGAGGAUCAGAGAACCAGCUGGGAAUCACAAAUAUGCUACAAAGAUAAAAGACAGAAUUUGGCCCUAAAUAAAAAUAGAUUCUUAAAAAUAGAGAAGAGAUCAGAUAUGUUGCUAAGAAAAUGCAGAUGUUAGACCAUAUCCAUGGUUCACAGUCCUUGUGAAAGCUUAAAAAAUAUAGAUGCCAGGACCCAAUCCCAGAGAUUCUGCCUUAUUUGGUCCAGGAAGAGCAUAAGCAUACAUUGAUUGAUUUUUGAAUGUUAAAAAAAAUUACUCCUGCAUUCCUGGGAUAAAUCCCACUCGUUCAUGGUACAUUAUCCUUUUACGCAUUAUUGAAUUCAGUUUCCUAAAAUUUUGUUAGGAAUUUUUGGAUCAAUAUUCAUUAGGGAUAUGGGCCCACAGUCUUUGUCUGAUUUUGGUGUCAAGACAGUGUCAUAGAUGAGUUGUGAAGGAUUCUGUCCUCUUCAGUUUUAUGGAAGAGUUUGUGUAGUGUUAGUUCUUCUUAAAUGUUUGGUAGAAUUCACUAUUAAUCUAUCUGGAACUGGAGUUUUCUUUGUAGGAAGAUUUUUAACUACAAAUUUAAUUUCUUGAAUAAAUAUAGGGUUUUCACAUUAUUUCAGAAAUUUCUUCUUGAGAGAGAUUUGGUAGUUUAUGCCUUUUAAGAAAUUUCAUCUAAGUUGUUGAAUUUAUUGGCAUAAGUUGUUUGUAAUAUUUCCUUAUAAUCCUUUUAAUAUAUGUAGGAUCCACCGCGAUGUCACCUCUCUCGUUCCUGUUAUUAAGUUGUAUCUUCUGUUUUCAUUCUGAACUGUGUUGAUAGAGUUUUAUCAAUUUUACUGAUAUUCUCAAAGGAACUAUUUUAGCUUCAUUGAUUUUCUCUAUUGCUUUAAUCUUUUCUCUUUCAUUAAAUUUCUGCUCUGAUUGUUGCUAUUCCUUUCUUCUGUUUGCUUUGGGUUUCAUUUACUCUUCUCUCUCUAGUUUCUUUUUUUAUUUUUAUGUAGUAGACUUAAAAACAGAACCUUUAUAGUUUCUUAAUGUGGCAACUGAGGUUAGAGAAUGAAUGCCUUUCUUCUUUUCUAAUUUAGGUAUUUAGUGGUUUAAAUUUCUCUGUAAUUGCUGCUUUAGUGGCAUUCCAUAAAUUUUGAUAUGUUGUAUUUUUACUUUCAUUUCAUUCACAAUACUUUUGAUUUCCUCUUUGAUUUCAUGUUUGAUUCGUGAGUAUUUAAAAGUGUGUUAUUUAGUUUUCAAAUAUUUAUGGAUUUUUCUAGAGAUCUUUCUCUUAAUGAUUUCUAAUUUAAUUCCAUUGUGGUCAGAGGAUAUACUUUGUGUGACUUGGAUUAUUUUUACACGUAUUGAGGCUUGUUUCAUGGCCCAGAAUUUGGUCUUUCUUGGUAUAUGUUCCAUAUACAAUCGGGAAUCAUGUGCAUCUGGCUGUGGUUGGGUGGAAUGUUCUGUAAAUGUCAACCAUAUCAGGUUGUUUUAGCAGCAUUGCUAAGAUUUACUAUAUCCUUGCUGAUUUUCUGUUUACUUUCUAUGUCUUAUCAGUGGAGAAAGGUACUGAAGUUUCUGACCAUAAUUGUGGAUUUGUUUAUGUCGUCUUACUUCAUGCCGCUUGAAGGUCUAUUGUUAGGUUGAUAAAUGUUAACAAUUGUUAUGUGCUCCUAAUAAAUUGAACCCUUUAUUAUUAUAAAAUGACUUUUUUUGGUCCUUGGCAGUACUCUUUGCUCUGAAACCUACUUCAGUAUUCAUGUAGCCACUCCAGCUUUCUUUUGAUUGGUGUGAACAUGAUACAACCUUUAAAAAAAUCCUUUUACUUUUAGCUUAUUUGUGUCUUUAUGUGUAAAGUGGGUAUCUUGUAGGCAGCAUAUAGUUGGGUCUCAUUUUAUUAUGCAAUCUGAAAAUCUGUCUUUUAUUUGGGGUUUUUAGAUCAUUUUUGUUUAAUAUGUCUUUGAUAUAGUUAGAUUUAAGUAUCAUUUUGCUAUUUGUUUUCUGUUUGUCCCAUCUUUUCUUUAUUCCCAUUCCUCUUUUUUUCCUUCUUUUUUAUUAAUUGGCUUCAGUAAUUUCCUCUCUUAAUUUUUAUGUAUUCUAUUUAUUUUUUAUGCUUCUGCUUUGUCUCCUUUGUUGGCUCAUUAGCCAGAAAUCUUUGUUUUGUUAUUUUAGUGGUUGCUUUAGGGUUUAUAAUAAUUGUCUUUAAUUACAGAUACCUUCAAAUGACAUUGUACAAUUUCACAUAGAGUAUAAAGACCUUCCAAUAAUUCACUUCCAUUUCUCCUACUGGACCUUGUGCUAUUGUUGCCAUACAUUUUACUUUUGUAUGUUACAGACUCACACUAUGUUGUUAGGGUAUUUUUUUCAUUUAAACGGUCAAUUUUUUAAAUUAAAAAUUUAGAAAAUUAAAUAGUAAAAAAGGAUCUUGUAUAUUUACCAUGUAGUCACCAUUUCCAGUGGUCUCUUUUCCCUUGUAUAGAUCUCUAUUUCCAUCUGGUGUCAUUUUCUUUUUGCUUGAAAGAAUUUCUUUCUUUCUUUCUUUCUUUUUUUUUUUUUGAGAUGGAGUCUCGCUCAGUCACCCAGGCUGGAGUGCAGUGGCGCGAUCUCGGCUCACUGCUAGCUCUGCCUCCCGGGUUCACAGCAUUCUCCUGCCUCAGCCCCCCACGUAGCUGGGACUAUAGGCGCCCACCACCACGCCCGGCUAAUUUUUUGUAUUUUUUUUUUUUUUUUUUUAGUAGAGACGGGGUUUCACCGUAUUAGCCAGGAUGGUCUCGAUCUCCUGACCUUGUGAUCCACCCGCCCUGGCCUCCCAAAGUGCUGGGAUUACAGGCGUGAGCCACCGCCCCUGGCCAAGAAUUUCUUUAGCAUUUCUUAUAGUGCAAAUCUACUGGUCAUGAAUUCUUUCAGCAUUUGUUUGAAUGAAAAAUUAUUCUACCUUUGAUUUUGAAAGAUAUUUUUGCUGGGUACAGAAUUCUAGGUUGAUAUUUUUUCCCCCUUAAUACUUUAAAGAUGUUGUUUCAUUCUCUUCUCACUUGUAUUAUUUCGGAUGAAAAAUCUAAUGCCAUUUUUGUCUUUGUUCCUUGUAUGUAACACAUCUUUUUUCUCGUGCUACUUUAAAGAUUUUCUCUUUUUAUUGGUUUUGACCAAUUUGAUUAUGCUGUAAUUUGGUAUAGUUUUUAAAAACGUGUCUUCUGCUUGGGGUUCAUUUACUUGGUUCUAUGAGUUUAUAUUUAUUAAAUUUGGAAAAAUUUUGGCCAUUAUUCCUCCAAAUAUUUUUUUCUAUCUCAUUCCUCCUCGUUUUGGGACUUGAAUUACAUCCAUAUUUGAUCUUUGAAGUUGUCCAGCAGUUCAUUGAUGAUCUAUUAUUAUUUCUGAAUUGUUGGGAUAGUUUCAGUUGCUGUCUUCAAGUUUACUCUUCUUUUUUUCUGAAAUAUUGAAUCUGAGGUUAAUCUCAUGCAGUAUAUUUUUUCAUCUCAGACACUGUAAUUUUCAUCUCUAAAUCAGUUAGGGACUUUUAGUUUCUUCGUUGUCUCUAGUUAACUUUUUGAACACAUGGGAAUCAGUUAUAACAACCGUCUUAAUGUCCCUGAUCAUCUUUGUCAAGUCUGGCUUGAUUUUGAUUGAUUGCUUUUCCUUUUAGUCAUGGGUCAUAUUUUCUUCAUUCUUUGCAAGCUUGGUAAUUUUUUUUUCUUUUUUUUGAGAUGGAGUCUCACUCUGUUGCCCAGUCUGGAGUGCAGUGGUGUGAUCUCAGCUCACUGCAAGCUCUGUCUCCUGGGUUCAUGCCAUUCUCCUGCCUCAGCCUCCCAAGUAGCUGGGACUACAGGUGCCCGGCUAUUUUUUUUGUAUUUUUAGUAGAGACGGGGUUUCACUGUGUUAGCCAGGAUGGUCUCAAUCUCCUGACCUCGUGAUCUACCCACCUCGGCUUCCCCAAGUGCUGGGAUUACAGGCGUGAGCCACCGCGCCUGGCCGUUUUGUUUUGUUUUUGUUUUUUGUUUUUGAGACAGAGUUUUUUUUGCUCAUAUUGCCCAGGCUGGAGUGCAAUGGCAUGAUCUCAGCUCACCGCAAUCUCCACCUCCCAGGUUCAAGCGAUUCUCCUGCCUCAGCCUCCUGAGUAGUUGGGAUUAUAGGCAUUCGCCACCACACCCGGCUAAUUGUGUAUUUUUAGUAGAGACGGGGUUUCUCCAUGUUGGCCUGGCUGGUCUCGAACUCCCGACCUCAGGUGAUCCACCCACCUUGGCCUCACAAAGUGCUGGGAUUACAGGCGUGAGCCACUGCACCCAGCCAAACUUGGUAAUUUUUUAAUUGGGUACCUGACAUAGUGAAUUUCACCCUGCUGGGGGCUAUUUUUGUAUUACUGUAAAUAUUUUUGGUUGUUCCGUGAUGUAGUUUAGUUACUUAGAAACAGUUUAUUCCUUUGGGUCUUAUUUUUAAGGUGUUAGGCAGGACCAGAGCUGUGUUUAGUCUAGAGUUAACUGCUGUUCACAUGGAGGCAGAACACUUUUGGGUACUCUACUCAAUACUUUGUGAAUUGUGAGUGCUCCUGCUACUCUAGCCUCCUGGAGAGCUCCUGUCACUGCUCCCUCAAAUCAUUCAGGUGCGUCUUUCCUGAACUUAGGUCAUCUCCCCACAGGCAUGUGUUGAUCAGUUCUCGGCUGAACCCUUGAAACCUUCCCCAGAUCUCCAGAGUUCUCUCUGUCCAGCUCUCUCUUCUCUGCCUCCUGCUCUCUGAAUCCUAACUGCCUUGGUUCCAUCCGAGUUCCCUCUCCUGUUCCAUGACUUGAAACUUUCCUCAAGGCAGUGAGCUGGGGUAGUCAUGGGGCUCACCUUGUUUGUUUCCUGUCUCUUGGGGAUCACUGUCCUUUGUGGCCUGAUGUCCAGUGUCAUGGAAAUCACUGUUGUUCUUGGGAGUGGGGUAAACUGGGUUCCUAUUACUCCAUCUUGGCUGGCGUUAGAAGUCCUAGCAAGUGUUUCUUGCAGCAUACUGUGUGUGAGGCACUGUUCUAGGCACUGGAGACUCAUCGUGAAUAACAGAAGACCCUUCCCUCAGGCAGCUAUGUUCUAGCAGACCAGGAAGGCUGGGCAAUGAAUCCAAGCACGGCCAUGAAAGGCUCCUCAGCCUUGGGCAAGCUGUGCCACCUGGGCUGAGCACUAAAAGCUCCUCAGCCUUGGGCAAGCUGUGCCACCUGGGCUGAGCACUACAGCCUUAGACAAGCUGUGCCACCUGGCUGAGCCUCAGAUCCUGGACUCUUCUUCAUCACAGCUGGGGCUUACUGUGCACCGCCUGUUGCUGUGAUUGCCAUUGUUUGCUCAUUUGUUUGUUGAAUCAUGAGCAAGGGACCUUCCUACCCAGAAAACCUUUUAAAAAGAAGUGACAGUAGUCCCACUUAUUGGUUGAAUUUUAUUUUUAUUUUUUGUAUUAUAAAGGCUUAACAUUUUUCUUACAGUGCAGAAUUUCCUUCAGAGUUUAGUGCAUGAUUUCUUGCCUGAGAAGGGUCAUGCUUCCCCACUCAUAGUGAGUUUUCGUAUCUCUUCCUAAGAAAAAUGAAAGUCAAGCCUCAGGAGGGAUGGUCGAGAUUAAAAAUUGCCAAGCAAUCAGUGGGUCCUAAGGAAGUAAUCCACACUCGGAGCAUCGUGCACCACAGUAGUGAGGGCAGCAUUGCGUGGAGGUGGAGGAUUAGGCACAUCGUCAGUGUCCAGCAGAAGACAAAGGAGUGAGUUAACAGGACGGUCCAUAUGCUGGAAUUGCAUGUCACUAUCCAUCAAAAAUUGUAUAUGUGACAGAUGUAAUAACAUGUUGCAGCAGCUACAACAGCAGAAGGCAGUAUUACGUACAUGGAUCGUCUCAACGUUGGCUGAAAACAGGCCCUCGGAAGAUGAGAAUUAGAAGGAACUGUGUCCCACCUGCGGUCAUAUUUCCCCAAGGACAUUUUCCCCACUUCUCUCCUUUCCCAUUGGUUCCAGUUUUCCUAGGAUGAACGUGUAUUGAUUUCAUAUUUAACAAAUUAAAGCAAAAGUUAAACUUCCA